GUGUCAGCAGCCGCGGUAAUACGUAGGCAGCAAGCGUUGUUCGGAAUUACUGGGCGUAAAGAGUGCGUAGGUGGUUGGUCAAGUUUGGUGUGAAAUCUCCCGGCUCAACUGGGAGGGUGCGCCGAAAACUGGCUGGCUAGAGUGUGGGAUAGGGAAGCGGAAUUCCUGGUGUAGCGGUGAAAUGCGUAGAUAUCAGGAGGAACGCCUGCGGUGUAGACGGCUUCCUGGACCAUGACUGACACUGAGGCACGAAAGCGUGGGUAGCAAACAGGAUUAGAUACCCUGGUAGUCCACGCCCUAAACGAUGCGAACUUGGUGUGCGCCCUUCAUUGGGUGCGUGCCGAAGCUAACGCGAUAAGUUCGCCGCCUGGGGAGUACGGUCGCAAGGCUGAA
rnacentral:rRNA from 1 species